GCAACUUGCUUUUAAUUAGUGUGAAGCAAAAUCAACUUCUUCUUUCUCAUUAUCCAUGGCGUCAACGUCAACAUCAACGCCGGUGGGUAGUGCGGCGGCGCCGCCUCCACCGCCUCCACUCAAGGAUUCUUUUCUCCGCCGUAACAAGUUCCUUUUGCCUAUGAUCUUGGCUCUCAAUUUGUCUCUUGGAGCUUAUCUUUUCAUGACCAAAAAGAAAGAUGUGGGAACUGAGGCAGGAGAAGUGUCAGAUGUUCCUAGCAGUUCAGUUUCAUCAACCGCUGCUAUUACUGCAGUAGCUGGAAAGCAAGCAACUGUUCCAGCUCUUGUGCAGCCUGCUGUUGUUCAUGAACCAAUACCAGAAGAUCGACAACGAGAACUAAUGAAGUGGAUAUUGGAAGAGAAGAGAAAACUUAAACCAAAAGAUCCCGAGGAGAAAAAGCGCAUUGAUGAGGAGAAAGCUAUGCUCAAGCAGUUUAUUCGAGCCAAGUCCAUUCCAAGUUUGUAAUGGAGGAGACCCUUCACAACUUUGAUACUACUAGCUUGGAGAUGUACAAAGGUUGGAUUUUCCCUUUUCACUGCAAAUAUGGCACUGAGGAAUCAAAUGGCUUGAACAAUGAAAUGUAUAUUGGAUCUUUUUCUGAAUUGCUUGAACAAUGAAUGUAUAUUGGAUCU
rnacentral:misc_RNA from 1 species